CAGAGGUGGCAAGCGUUGUUCGGAAUUAUUGGGCGUAAAGCGCGUGUAGGCGGCUUUGCAAGUCGGGUGUGAAACGCCCUCAGGCUCAACUGAGGAAGUGCGCCCGAAAUGCAGAGCUUGAGUGCCGGAGAGGGUGGCGGAAUUCCCCAAGUGAGAGGUGAAAUUCGUAAGAUAUGGGGAGGAACACCGGUGGCGAAGGCGGCCACCUGGACGGUAACUGACGCUGGAGACGCGAAGCGUGGGGAGCAAACAGG
rnacentral:rRNA from 1 species